AAUUAACACAGACCAGUAGAACCCAUGUGAAAAAUUGACGAGUUAUUGACAAGAAAAUUCGAUCAAUCAAUGGUGGUUGCCGUCAUUGCUGCUGGCUCCGGCCGUCCCCACGCCAUCGGAUCUCCUUGCUGACACAGGGCGCCGCUGAUUGCGUUGCCGUAGCGGUGGCACUGAUUGCGUUGCCGUAGUGGCGGCUUCCCGCCGGAUCCUCUCGCUGCCACCUUCGUGCGCGAUCCGGUGGACUGGGGGAGGAAGCGGGGGGC
rnacentral:lncRNA from 1 species